rnacentral:rRNA from 1 species
GAUGAACGCUAGCGGCAGGCCUAACACAUGCAAGUCGAGGGGUAACAUUGGAGCUUGCUUCAGAUGACGACCGGCGCACGGGUGCGUAACGCGUAUAGAAUCUACCUUAUACUAAGGGAUAGCCUUUGGAAACGAAGAUUAAUACCUUAUAGUAUGUUUACUUCGCAUGGAGUUUACAUUAAAGGUUACGGUAUAAGAUGACUAUGCGUUCUAUUAGCUAGAUGGUGUGGUAACGGCAUACCAUGGCAACGAUAGAUAGGGGCCCUGAGAGGGGGAUCCCCCACACUGGUACUGAGACACGGACCAGACUCCUACGGGAGGCAGCAGUGAGGAAUAUUGGACAAUGGAGGCAACUCUGAUCCAGCCAUGCCGCGUGCAGGAAGACUGCCCUAUGGGUUGUAAACUGCUUUUAUACGGGAAGAAACACUGCUACGUGUAGCAGCUUGACGGUACCGUAAGAAUAAGGAUCGGCUAACUCCGUGCCAGCAGCCGCGGUAAUACGGAGGAUCCAAGCGUUAUCCGGAAUCAUUGGGUUUAAAGGGUCCGUAGGUGGAUAAUUAAGUCAGAGGUGAAAGUUUGCAGCUCAACUGUAAAAUUGCCUUUGAUACUGGUUAUCUUGAAUUAUUAUGAAGUGGUUAGAAUAUGUAGUGUAGCGGUGAAAUGCAUAGAUAUUACAUAGAAUACCAAUUGCGAAGGCAGAUCACUAAUAGUAUAUUGACACUGAUGGACGAAAGCGUGGGGAGCGAACAGGAUCAGAUACCUGGUAGUCCACGCCGUAAACGAUGGAUACUAGCUGUUCGNUCUUCGGACUGAGU